rnacentral:tRNA from 1 species
GGGAUGGUGGCUCAGUGGUAGAGCGCUUGCCUUGCAUGCAUGAGGCACUAACUAGGUUCGAUUCCUCAGCACCA